rnacentral:lncRNA from 1 species
AUACACCAUUCAUUCGCCACACAUGCACAUCUUGAUAUUGACUUAUUGACUUGUUUCUCUGGAUCCAUGGUUUGACUAUGCAAUAAAUGUCUUGUAAGUAUGUAUACUUUAUCUCCCACCUAUGAGCUCCAGAUAUCAAAGCCUUAUUAGAGUAGGAUGAGAGAGAAGGCAAUGUCACUAUGCCUCAUACCACAAAUACCACAU